rnacentral:snRNA from 1 species
AACUUAGAAAGCAGUGGCAGUAUUGUAGCCAAUGAGGUUAAUCUGAGGCGCGAUUAUUGCUGAUUGCUAAUUGAAAACUAUUCUUUUUCAGGGUUGCCACUAAAACCAUGAUUAUGAGAUAAGUAAAAGAGAACACCUUACUU